rnacentral:tRNA from 1 species
GCCUGGGUGGCUCAACAGGUUGAGCAUCUGACUUCGGCUCAGGUCAUGAUCUCGUGGUCUGUGAGUUCAAGCCCCACGUCAGGCU